GGUCCUGUAGUGGAAAGUAAGAUGCCAGACUGCAAUUCUGGAGAUGCGUUUAGCGCCAGGGCUU
rnacentral:tRNA from 1 species